GCNCUAAAGCANUUCNCGUAGCCNGGGUUGGCAAUUAAAAGUUUUUCGGUUAAACCUAUGCGCUUAACGUAUAGGCCGCCGAAAAUACUGUGCAGCUAGGGAGUGGGAGAGGUACACGGUACUCGAUAGGAAGGGGUAAAAUCCUUUGAUCUAUUGAAGACCACCUGUGGCGAAGGCGGUGUACCAGAACACGUUCGACGGUGAGGGAUGAAAGCUGGGGGAGCAAACCGGAUUAGAUACCCGGGUAGUCCCAGCUGUAAACGAUGCAGACUCGGUGAUGCAUUGGCUUGUGGCCAAUGCAGUGCCGCAGGGAAGCCGUUAAGUCUGCCGCCUGGGAAGUACGUACGCAAGUAUGAACUUAAAGGAUUGGCGGGGGAGCACCACAGGAUGAAGCCCGCGGUUC
rnacentral:rRNA from 1 species